GAUGAAGAACGUAGCGAAAUGCGAUAAGUAGUGUGAAUUGCAGAAUUCAGUGAAUCAUCGAAUCUUUGAACGCACAUUGCGCCCCUUGGUAUUCCAUGGAGCAUGCCUGUUCGAGCGUCAUUUGUACCUUCAAGCUUUGCUUGGUGUUGGGUGUUUGUCUCGCCUUUGCGUGUAGACUCGCCUUAAAAUAAUUGGCAGCCGGCGUAUUGAUUUCGGAGCGCAGUACAUCUCGCGCUUUGCACUCAUAACGACAGCGUCCAAAAGUACAUUUUACACUCUUGACCUCGGAUCAGGUAGGGAUACCCGCUGAACUUAAGCAUAUCAAUAAGCGGAGGA
rnacentral:misc_RNA from 1 species